rnacentral:RNase_P_RNA from 1 species
GUUUUGCGGGGUGAGGAAAGUCCGGGCUCCACCGGAAAAGAUGCCGGAUAAUAACCGGGCGGGAGAAGGUAGCUGCAUACAAGGUGCAUAGCCCUUCUGCCGACAGAAAGUGCCACAGAAAAUAAACCGCCUGAAAGGGUAAGGGUGCAAAGGCGGGGUAAGAGCCCACCGCAUGUCUGGUAACAGAUAUGGCAUGGCAAACCUCAUCUGGAGCAAAGUCAAGCAGCAGUAACGUAAUCCGGGCGAAUUACUGCGGGUAGACUGCUAAAGCCGGCUGGCAACAGCCUGUUGGGAUAGAUGGCUAUGAGUGCUCUGCUGCCUCUGGUGACAGGGCAUGAGACAGAACCCGGCUUAUUGUCUUUUC